rnacentral:rRNA from 1 species
UCGAGGGAGAAGUUUUGUGCUUGCACAGAACAGAAACCGGCGAACGGGUGCGUAACACGUAUGCAACCUACCUAUAACUGGGGGAUAGCCCGAAGAAAUUCGGAUUAAUACCCUAUAAUAUUUACAUACCGCAUGGUAUGUAUCUUAAAACUCCGGUGGUUAUAGAUGGGCAUGCGGCUUAUUAGUUUGUUGGUGAGGUAACGGCUCACCAAGACUACGAUAAGUAGGGGGUCUGAGAGGAUGAUCCCCCACACUGGUACUGAGACACGGACCAGACUCCUACGGGAGGCAGCAGUAGGGAAUAUUGGACAAUGGACGAAAGUCUGAUCCAGCCAUGCCGCGUGCAGGAUGACGGCCCUAUGGGUUGUAAACUGCUUUUAUAUAGGAAGAAACCUUUCCACGUGUGGAAAGCUGACGGUACUAUACGAAUAAGGACCGGCUAACUCCGUGCCAGCAGCCGCGGUAAUACGGAGGGUCCAAGCGUUGUCCGGAUUUAUUGGGUUUAAAGGGUACGCAGGCGGGACUUUAAGUCAGUGGUGAAAGCCUCCAGCUUAACUGGAGAAUUGCCAUUGAAACUGAAGUUCUUGAGUAUGGAUGAGGUGGUUGGAAUAUAACAUGUAGCGGUGAAAUGCAUAGAUAUGUUAUAGAACACCAAUUGCGAAGGCAGAUCACUAAACCAUUACUGACGCUGAGGUACGAAAGCGUGGGGAGCGAACAGGAUUAGAUACCCUGGUAGUCCACGCCGUAAACGAUGUUCACUCGCUGUUGGCGAUAUAUUGUCAGCGGCCAAGCGAAAGCAUUAAGUGAACCACCUGGGGAGUACGAUCGCAAGGUUGAAACUCAAAGGAAUUGACGGGGGCCCGCACAAGCGGUGGAGCAUGUGGAUUAAUUCGAUGAUACGCGAGGAACCUUACCAGGGCUUAAAUGAUAAUUGACCGUCGCCGAAAGGUGUCUUUCUUUUAGACAAGUAUCAAGGUGCUGCAUGGCUGU